UGGUGGGGGUCACGUCAACUUCAUCCGCUGCUCUAACUGCGGCAAGUGCUGUCCUAAGGACAAGGCUAUCAAGAGGUUCCUCGUGAGGAAUAUAGUGGAGCAAGCUGCCGUGAGGGAUGUGCAAGAGGCUUGUGCCUACGAUGGUUUUAAACAACUUGAUACACACUUCCGAAGUUGUAUAUCAAAGUGCAGUACUGUGUGUCCUACGCAAUCCACUCAAAGGUUGUCAGGGUGAGGUCUCGCACAGAUAGGAGAAACCGAGAGCCACCACAACGCUUCAGA